GGCAAAUUAGUCCGGGAAUCAGCAAGGCUGUUUUUCAGAAAAGUGCACCAGUCCGAGGCCGGAUCCCGGUAGGAAGUCCGACGCUGGAACCCGGCGGGGAGUACGAAGCCGGAUCUCUGCAGUUCGUCAAUAAGGCAGCCCAAAACUUUCCGCAUUUUUGGAUCAUCUGUGGAACAGGCAGCAAUUUUUGGAGCGAUCCGUGAAGGGGAAGGCUUGCCACUUGUAACAGUGGACCAAACAAGCCAGCAACCCCGUCCAAAGUGUCUUGCAUU